rnacentral:lncRNA from 1 species
GAAAACUCUGAGUGGUGUUGUGAGGACACUGAAAGAACAAAAAACCUUCAGAGGAAGUGAGGAAGUGAGGCGAUCCCAAGAGCAGCACGUGAGUGGGGAGUUCUUCGGUGCCUGCGCUCCCUCUGAGGUCUUCAAAGCGGACACAAGCAACCUACAAGGCCCAGAAUAGAGACAGGAGGCUUCCCACCGAGGGGCGACCUGAGUUACACCUUGAAAAGUGCUUAGGACUCUGUCAGUCAAUCCCCACAAGGAACCAGGUGGUCAUGGGCAAGCGAAGAGAUCAGAGAAGACGCUGCAGGCACCACCACACUCAUUCCUUGAAAUAAUUGAAACACCUAUGUACAACGUACAAAGUCAUUCAUGAUCUGACCUGCUUACCAUUCAGACCCAAAUCUCACUGCUCCUCGCUGAAGUUCGAUGUUCCAGCCAUGUUCACGUGCCCAGGGCUCCCAGGACAAUACUAGUAAAUGCAACCACAACAACCAACAUUUGGAAUGACUCCAUCUUGGACUCCAGGACAGACCUUCCUGAAC